rnacentral:piRNA from 1 species
UGCCUUUACAGCGACAACGUGGUGUGGGU